rnacentral:rRNA from 1 species
UACGUAGGGUGCGAGCGUUAAUCGGAAUUACUGGGCGUAAAGCGUGCGCAGGCGGUGCUGUAAGACCGAUGUGAAAUCCCCGGGCUUAACCUGGGAACUGCAUUGGUGACUGCAGCGCUGGAGUAUGGCAGAGGGGGGUGGAAUUCCACGUGUAGCAGUGAAAUGCGUAGAGAUGUGGAGGAACACCGAUGGCGGAAGGCAGCCCCCUGGGCCAAUACUGACGCUCGAUGCACGAAAGCGUGGGGAGCAAACAGG